UACGGGGGGAGCAAGCGUUGUUCGGAUUUACUGGGCGUAAAGGGCGCGUAGGCGGUCAGCACAAGUCAGUUGUGAAAUCUCCGGGCUUAACUCGGAAAGGUCAACUGAUACUGUGCGACUAGAGUGCGGAAGGGGCAACUGGAAUUCUCGGUGUAGCGGUGAAAUGCGUAGAUAUCGAGAGGAACACCAGCGGCGAAGGCGGCGACCUGGACAGUCACUGACACUCAACUGCGAAAGCGUGGGGGAGCAAACAGG
rnacentral:rRNA from 1 species